CGUCCAUCCCCCACAGCUCACAGUCACCGACGGGAUCACAGCAGGACGGCUCGCGACGCGGUCACGGAAAAUAACAGCUGGACACAGACAAACUGGAGAGACGGCUGACAGGAAGAUGUCGUCAUCUCUAACCGUCACUCGCGCCACAGUUCUCAAUGCAAAGGCAGCGAGGGGUCAUUUGCAACAAGACGGCUGAUACUAAUAUGGGCCUAAAAUAAAGUAAGUAGUAUUCACAUUAAACAAAUUGAUGGGCUUUAGUGUUGCACAAGAUGUAAUUUGUCACCUUAUAAACAGUUAUUUAAAUUCAUCGUUCUUCAGUUUUUAUAUUUUGAUGAAUUGCUAUUAAUGCAGAUGUAAUGAUGACCAGAAAUGACCAGCAGCACAAAUGUUAAGUCUUCUGAAGCAAUAGUAUACUUUUGUUUUGUGAAUAUUAGAUUGAAAUUUAAACCUAAAGAUCAAAUUGUGAAUAACGUUACACAAUACAGAUGAAAAACAACAAACUAACAUCCCACAAGAAUGACAUCUAAAGACCGGUCAUGUUUGAUGUAAUGUAGUGUGCCACCAAUUUGAUUCAGACUGAAUUGGCAGAGUGAAUAACAUCUUAAAUUUCAGUUUGUCUAUCAUUCCGUCAAAGUCUUUUGGUAUUUUGUGUUGCUUCAGAAGAAUACCAGUGAAGUCUUAAAUUCUGAUUAUAGUUAUACAUUUAUAUACUUAACUAAUAUAGUUAAUAAAACUUCUACUUUCCCUUAUCCUAAAGUUGCUUUGUUUUUUUUUAUAAAGAUGUCAGGUAAUUGCUAAUGCUAAGUUUGUAGUGGUUAAAAAUUGUCUUGUUAUGAUUCAUAAAAAUAAGCUGUCCAUAAAUGUUGCUUAAUUGUGAGUUAAAUUUCUCUAAUUUUGUGUUUUGUCUUCGGGGACAAUAAUGGCAUCAGCCAUUCAAGUUAUGAUCCUGGCAGAUCUACUACUAUCUGAAAAGUAGUCUCUGCAGAUAUUGUCAAGAUGCACAAGCGUUGCCAUGGGUUCCGGUGUUACGGUUUAACUGGUUUCCGUGUUAUCUGGUGACCAACUUCCUGGUUCAAGUCUCCACUCCAGAUGUGAUGGGACGACCGCAGCAGAUUCGCCGAUUCUGAAAGCUCAAACUGACGUGAUAUUAAACUGUCUAAUA